AACGAACGCUGGCGGCAUGCCUAACACAUGCAAGUCGAACGAUCCCUUCGGGGAUAGUGGCGAACGGGUGCGUAACGCGUGGGAACCUGCCCUUAGGUGCGGAAUAACUCAGAGAAAUUUGAGCUAAUACCGGAGAAUGUCUUCGGACCAAAGAUUUAUCGCCUUUGGAUGGGCCCGCGUUGGAUUAGCUAGUUGGUGGGGUAAAGGCCUACCAAGGGGACGAUCCAUAGCUGGUCUGAGAGGAUGAUCAGCCACACUGGGACUGAGACACGGCCCAGACUCCUACGGGAGGCAGCAGUGGGGAAUAUUGGACAAUGAGCGAGCGCCUGAUCCAGCAAUGCCGCGUGAGUGAUGCAGGCCUUAGGGUUGAAUAGCUCUUUUACCCGGGAUGCUAAUGACAGUACCGGGAGAAUAAGCCCCGGCUAACUCCGUG
rnacentral:rRNA from 1 species